AAAAGGAGCACUGCCCAUACCAUCUUUGCACUUGUUACUUGCUUGGUGGGAAAGAGUGAACAGGCUGAGUGCACCUCAAGCUUCAAUUACCUUGGCCAGGCUUGAAGGUACGAAACAACAUCAAUCCAUCCAUCAUCUCUCCAAGAUCAUUUUGAACUCCAUUGUUCACAAUUUUCUGCGGAUCUUUCAACUUUCCAUCAAUUCUCUCGAUUUUCCUUCCAAACCAGGUUUGAGCAUCCUUAUUUUUUUAGUUAUUGUUUUUUGCUUUCGGGUAUUCAUACUCUUGAUGUAGAUAAAAUGGAGGAUGUUUUAGUGGGUUUUUAUUGAUCAAAUGUUUCAAGUUUUUGGCAUUAUUUUUUGUGGGUUUUUUGUGGAUUAUUUAUCAAAUGUUACUAAAAUCUAUUGAUUAUGUGGAUUUCUGAUAUUAGAUUUCUUAUGAUAAAUUGAUUUGGUUUAGGAAAGAUAUAUAGAUUUGUUCUCAUAAUCUGAUAAACUUCUUUUUUUUUCGUUUUUUUUUUUAAAAAAAAUUGAUUUUAGAGUCAUUUAUGGAGAUUUUUGUUACCGAAAAUGUUUUCCGGAUGAGGAUUUGAGAUGAGGGUUCAUUUGUUUUCAUAAAAAAACUUCAUCCUAUACAAUAAUAUAAAAUUAUAUUAUAAUAUAGAACAUAAAGAAACUUCAUCCUAUACAAUAAUACAAAAUUGUAUUAUAAUAUUCUAUAUUAUAUUUUCUAAUAUUAUAUAUUAUUAUAUAUUAUUAUGUUUGUUAAUUAUAUAUUAUAACAUUAUAUAUCUAUUAUAAUUUACAAAUUACUUACAUGUAACAUAUAAUUAAUUAUGGCUAUAACAAUUUGCAGGUUAAGUUCAUUCCUAGUUCUUCGCUCUUUCGUAUAGGUGGGGUUGUUACCUUCAUCCUCGUGGGUAGGGAGCUGAAGCCUCCCAACUUAAAAUUUGGGUAACUUAUAAAUAUAUUUUGGAAAUGAAUAUGUUGUUGGCUUACGACCUCGUUGAGAGGAUGGCCUUUGGUAAGGUAGAAUGGCAUAUCAAGAUUAGUAUAGCAAACUCUAAAUAGUUGGAAAAAAGCUCUGACGAUGACGAUGAUGAUGGUGAUGAAAAUGUUGUUGGCUUAAAGGGGAAAUUUUUUCAAGAGAGUCAUUUUAUAUGUUUCUGAGUUACAUAGUGUAAUUAUUCAUCGGCUUUCGCCAUGG
rnacentral:lncRNA from 1 species